GUCACCCCAUCUCGUGGUGUCACCCCAUCUCGUGGUGUCACCCAGCGCAUUCUGCACCCGCCGCACCGCCCUAGUGGCGCCCCUGAAUAUGUUCACAAUCGUCAGCAGACAGCUGUGACAAUUACAGGAUAUUUGAGACUGUCGGGAGCUCAUUCUACUUCACUGUAAGUCAUUCACACUCACUUUUAGAAAAUGGCAAAUGCCCUUUUGCCUGAAUGUGAAGGAAGACAGAUGGGUGAAGGGGGGCUCUGAAUUUCCAAGCAGAAAUGGAGUAAGACGGAUUAUCUCCACCUCAGCAUGACACCUGGACCAUGUCCUUAUCUUAGAGGUACAGAAACUCUCCAUGUGACUAAUAAGAACUGUGGGAGUGGACACUCUGCAUAUCAUGGUGGCAGUGUAACUGCAUUCAAGAGAAAGGCAUUUGACCUUUGUCACCUGGUAAAGAUAAUGUGUAGACCAAUUAAGUAAGCCCUGUUGAAUUCAGAAGAGCUUUAGAACUGCAACCAAAGAGUGUGCUGUGAAGCUUGGAAGGAAGAGUGAAAGCAACAAGAGCAAAUACUGAUCAUAUUCGCUGGAUUGAUUGCUGUUCUGGAUAUGGGAUGAAUAAGCGAACACCAGCAAUUUCCACUCUUGUUUCCAUUUUUGCUGGAUCCCUAGUUCCGUGGUCAAGUUGUCUCUCCCACCCACCCCCAAUUUUCACACUAUUAUACUCCUUAAGAUAACACUGAAUAAUUUAAGAAAAAAAGGUCCAAGGACCUUUUUUUAAAAAGUUACUAAGAAAGCUAGUGAAAGAAGUCCAUGUUUUCCUUCUUUUCACGUAUUUAUUGUGUAUCCCAAACAUAUUGUGAUAGAUCUUAACAUUGAUGUCCAAAAAUGUAUGUCACUGUUGAAAUUUCCGAUGUCAUUAUAUGUGUGCCAGGUGGAUAAGUGCUUUUAUGAAAUGAUUCCUGCUGUUGUGUUUCUGCAAUUGUUUUCCUGCUGGAUUUAAAUUGCACAUACCAAACUUUACUGAGAGAGAGAGAGAGAGAGAGAGAGAUAUGAAAAAUUAUAUGAAAAAACUUAAUCUAGAACAGUCUUUUGAAAGCUCAUUUUGAAGUUGUCUAACUGGUUUGUACUGAAUGACCUUGUUCUCAGCCAUGAACUUAUAAACAGCUGAUUUUGAAAUCCAACCAUCCCUGUUGUUAUGAUAUAAUCCUCUUUCACUUCAUCACUCAUUUCUCUGUGAAGUUGGGCUUUCCUUCACUUCCUGUUGUGGAG